rnacentral:lncRNA from 1 species
CUGAUAUAGCCCUGAGAUGUGUCUUUGGCCACGUUUUCAGCCUGGCCAUGUAUCUGACCACAUGGUCUUAGACUGGUCAGAGAAACCUGCCAGCAGGUUUCAAAGGAAGAAAAUACAUUUCUUUUCUGUCUUGAGGCAUGAACAGGGAGCUCCUGAGAGAGACCUGUGGAGCCAGACUGUAGUAGCCAUAAGACCAAGUAACACAAGUGCUGAGCAACAUGGAGAUUGGAGGCGAUUCUCAGAAAGUAUCAGUGGGGAAAGCACUCUGGACAUCACAGGGGCUUUGGGGAAAAAUCCACACUUUGGAAGGAGCACAGAUAUCACUGAACCAAGCUGCUAUGGAUUUUCAGUUCACGCACAUUAAGAUCAACUCUGUUUUUGACACCCAAAUUUCUCGAUGAAAUCUUCAGAUGGCAAAAAUCAGGAUGACUCCAAUGAAGCUGAUGGCACACUAUCAAUAAACUGAUGUAUCUUAGUCUUUGAUCUUCUACU